rnacentral:rRNA from 1 species
GAUGAACGCUGGCGGCGUGCCUAAUACAUGCAAGUCGAGCGAACAGACGAGGAGCUUGCUCCUCUGACGUUAGCGGCGGACGGGUGAGUAACACGUGGAUAACCUACCUAUAAGACUGGGAUAACUUCGGGAAACCGGAGCUAAUACCGGAUAAUAUAUUGAACCGCAUGGUUCAAUAGUGAAAGACGGUUUUGCUGUCACUUAUAGAUGGAUCCGCGCCGCAUUAGCUAGUUGGUAAGGUAACGGCUUACCAAGGCAACGAUGCGUAGCCGACCUGAGAGGGUGAUCGGCGACACUGGAACUGAGACACGGUCCAGACUCCUACGGGAGGCAGCAGUAGGGAAUCUUCCGCAAUGGGCGAGAGCCUGACGGAGCAACGCCGCGUGAGUGAUGAAGGUCUUCGGAUCGUAAAACUCUGUUAUUAGGGAAGAACAAAUGUGUAAGUAACUAUGCACGUCUUGACGGUACCUAAUCAGAAAGCCACGGCUAAAUACGUG